CCUACGGGCUGCAGCAGUGGGGAAUAUUGGACAAUGGGCGAAAGCCUGAUCCAGCCAUGCCGCGUGUGUGAAGAAGGCCUUCGGGUUGUAAAGCACUUUCAGUGGGGAAGAAAGCCUUGGGGCUAAUACCCUCGAGGAAGGACAUCACCCACAGAAGAAGCACCGGCUAACUCCGUGCCAGCAGCCGCGGUAAUACGGAGGGUGCGAGCGUUAAUCGGAAUUACUGGGCGUAAAGCGCGCGUAGGCGGUCUGAUAAGCCGGUUGUGAAAGCCCCGGGCUCAACCUGGGAACGGCAUCCGGAACUGUCAGGCUAGAGUGCAGGAGAGGAAGGUAGAAUUCCCGGUGUAGCGGUGAAAUGCGUAGAGAUCGGGAGGAAUACCAGUGGCGAAGGCGGCCUUCUGGACUGACACUGACGCUGUGGUGCGAAAGCGUGGGUAGCAAACAGGAUUAGAUACCCGAGUAGUC
rnacentral:rRNA from 1 species